UCGCUGGAGAUAUAUUGAGGAUUAUUCAGUAAAGCAUGUCUGUUCAUGGAACUCUUGUCCAUUAGACUCAAUUGGGAGGCUGAUAACUUGUGAAGAAAAGUCCAUCUUGGACAAAUACUUCAAAGAGAACCAUUGAGGAUAAAGCUGUUGGGGAUACCUUCCUUAAGGAAUCCUGCUGGUAUGAAACUCUCUUGGGGAGCUCAUGAAGUUUUGAUGGAG
rnacentral:lncRNA from 1 species